CUUGGUCAUUUAGAGGAAGUAAAAGUCGUAACAAGGUUUCUGUAGGUGAACCUGCAGAAGGAUCAUUAGUGAAGAUUUGGGCAGGCCAUACGGACGCCAAAAAGUGUCCCUGGCCGCCUACACCCACUAUACAUCCACAAACCCGUGUGCACUGUCUUGGAGAAAGGCUUCAGAGAAGUUUUUUGUGGCCUCUCUUGGGGUCUUUCUUCGCUACAAACUCGAAUGGUUAGUAUGAACGUGGAACUUGGUUGGACCGUCACUGGCCAACAAACUAUACACAACUUUCGACAACGGAUCUCUUGGUUCUCCCAUCGAUGAAGAACGCAGCGAAACGCGAUAGGUAAUGUGAAUUGCAGAAUUCCGUGAAUCAUCGAAUCUUUGAACGCACCUUGCGCUCUAUGGCAAUCCGUAGAGCAUGCCUGUUUGAGUGCCAUGAAAUCUCCCACCCCAAGCGGUUUUUACAUGAAACGGCUUGGCGGAUGGGGUCUGGAUGGGUGCCUCUGCCUGCGCUACCUAGCACAGGCUCGCCCGAAAUGCAUGAGCGCCUUGAGACACUUUGCAUCCGCCUCUCUGUUUGGGAGGAGGCGGCCAAGCAGUGUUUUUCUCCUGGCAUGGCAUGAUACGUCAUUUGCUAUGUCGCCUAAAGGAGGAAUGUUUGGUUGUGUCUGCGUGUGCUU
rnacentral:rRNA from 1 species